UCUGCCGCGGGCGCAGGAUACGUGAGAGGGUUCGUCCUUAGUACGAGAGGACCGGGAUGAACCGACCGCUGGUGUACCAGUUGUUCCGCCAGGAGCACCGCUGGGUAGCCAAGUCGGGAAGGGAUAAGCGCUGAAAGCAUCUAAGCGCGAAGCCCGCCUCAAGAUAACGUAUCCCAUCUGGACAACAGAGUAAGACCCCUUGAAGAAGACAAGGUAGAUCGGUCUGGCGUGGAAGCGUAGUGAUACGUGGAGCGGACAGAUACGAAUCGGUCGAGGGCUUCACCC
rnacentral:rRNA from 1 species